UUUCUACUCCCUCUGUCCGAAAAUACUUGUCAUCAAAAUGGAUAAAAAGAGAUGUAUCUAAAACUAAAAUACGUCUAGAUACAUUUCCUUUUAUCCAUUUUGAUGACAAGUAUUUCCGGACGAAGGGAGUAUUUG
rnacentral:pre_miRNA from 1 species